GCCAGACUCCUACGGGAGGCAGCAGUGGGGAAUAUUGCACAAUGGGGGAAACCCUGAUGCAGCGACGCCGCGUGAAGGAAGAAGUAUUUCGGUAUGUAAACUUCUAUCAGCAGGGAAGAAAAUGACGGUACCUGACUAAGAAGCCCCGGCUAACUACGUGCCAGCAGCCGCGGUAAUACGUAGGGGGCAAGCGUUAUCCGGAUUUACUGGGUGUAAAGGGAGCGUAGGCGGUUUAGCAAGUCAGAAGUGAAAGCCCGGGGCUCAACUCCGGGACUGCUUUUGAAACUGUUGAACUAGAGUGCAGGAGAGGUAAGUGGAAUUCCUAGUGUAGCGGUGAAAUGCGUAGAUAUUAGGAGGAACACCAGUGGCGAAGGCGGCUUGCUGGACUGUAACUGACGUUGAGGCUCGAAAGCGUGGGGAGCAAACAGGAUUAGAUACCCUCGUAAA
rnacentral:rRNA from 1 species